rnacentral:rRNA from 1 species
CAGUCGCCGCGGGAAUACGAAGGGGGCUAGCGUUGCUCGGAACCACUGGGCGUAAGGCGCACGUAGGCGGAUGUUUAAGUCAGAGGUGAAAGCCUGGAGCUCAACUCCAGAACUGCCUUUGAUACUGGGCAUCUUGAGUCCGGAAGAGGUAAGUGGAACUGCGAGUGUAGAGGUGAAAUUCGUAGAUAUUCGCAAGAACACCAGUGGCGAAGGCGGCUUACUGGUCCGGUACUGACGCUGAGGUGCGAAAGCGUGGGGAGCAAACAGGAUUAGAUACCCCCGUAGUCCCUGUCUCUUAUAC